AGCCAUUAGCCAAACAAAUAUUAAAGGUAACGCCUGCCCAGUGAGAAACUCUUCUUAAACGGCCGCGAGACACACCGUGCGAAGGUAGCGAAAUCACUUGUUUCCUAAAUAGAGACCAGUAUGAAAGGCCUCAUGAGAAAGAAACUGUCUCUCGAAGAUAGCCAGUGAAACUGAUCUGUCUGUGAAAAAGCAGACAUAAUACAACAAGACAAAAAGACCCUGUGAAACUUUAAAUAACAUGCUAACCACUGUAGCACUUUUUUUAGGUUGGGGCAACCAAAGAGAAACAAAACAUCCACAACCAUAUAAGACCAACAAGUCAAAUAUAUUAAACCAAGACCCAGUAAUACUGAUCAAAGAACCAAGCUACUCCAGGGAUAACAGCGCCAUAUUCUUGAAGAGUCCACAUCAACAAGAAUCCUUACGACCUCGAUGUUGGAUCAGGGUACCCCAACAGUGCAAAAGCCGCUAAAGGUUCGUUUGUUCAACGAUUAAUACCCU
rnacentral:rRNA from 1 species